rnacentral:rRNA from 1 species
UACGGGGGGAGCAAGCGUUGUUCGGAUUUACUGGGCGUAAAGGGCGCGUAGGCGGUCGUGACAAGUCACUUGUGAAAUCUCCGGGGCUUAACUCGGAAAGGUCAAGUGAUACUGUCGGACUAGAGUACAGAAGGGGCAACUGGAAUUCUCGGUGUAGCGGUGAAAUGCGUAGAUAUCGAGAGGAACACCUGCGGCGAAGGCGGGUUGCUGGGCUGAUACUGACGUGAGGCGCGAAAAGCUAGGGGAGCGAACGGG